rnacentral:rRNA from 1 species
UACAGAGGGUGCAAGCGUUGUUCGGAAUUAUUGGGCGUAAAGCGCGUGUAGGCGGCUUGGCAAGUCGGGUGUGAAAGCCCUCAGCUCAACUGAGGAAGUGCGCCCGAAACUGCUGAGCUCGAGUGCCGGAGAGGGUGGCGGAAUUCCCCAAGUAGAGGUGAAAUUCGUAGAGAUGGGGAGGAACACCGGUGGCGAAGGCGGCCACCUGGACGGUGACUGACGCUGAGACACGAAGGCCAGGGGAGCAAACGGG